AGUGGCGGACGGGUGAGUAACACGUAGGUAACCUGCCCCGGAGCGAGGGAUAACAUUUGGAAACAGAUGCUAAUACCGCAUAACAACAAAAGCCACAUGGCUUUUGUUUGAAAGAUGGCUUUGGCUAUCACUCUGGGAUGGACCUGCGGUGCAUUAGCUAGUUGGUAAGGUAACGGCUUACCAAGGCGAUGAUGCAUAGCCGAGUUGAGAGACUGAUCGGCCACAAUGGAACUGAGACACGGUCCAUACUCCUACGGGAGGCAGCAGUAGGGAAUCUUCCACAAUGGGCGCAAGCCUGAUGGAGCAACACCGCGUGAGUGAAGAAGGGUUUCGGCUCGUAAAGCUCUGUUGUUGGAGAAGAACGUGCGUGAGAGUAACUGUUCACGCAGUGACGGUAUCCAACCAGAAAGUCACGGCUAACUACGUGCCAGCAGCCGCGGUAAUACGUAGGUGGCAAGCGUUAUCCGGAUUUAUUGGGCGUAAAGCGAGCGCAGGCGGUUGCUUAGGUCUGAUGUGAAAGCCUUCGGCUUAACCGAAGAAGUGCAUCGGAAACCGGGCGACUUGAGUGCAGAAGAGGACAGUGGAACUCCAUGUGUAGCGGUGGAAUGCGUAGAUAUAUGGAAGAACACCAGUGGCGAAGGCGGCUGUCUGGUCUGCAACUGACGCUGAGGCUCGAAAGCAUGGGUAGCGAACAGGAUUAGAUACCCUGGUAGUCCAUGCCGUAAACGAUGAGUGCUAGGUGU
rnacentral:rRNA from 1 species